UGGAGGCCCAGGAACACCCCUGUCGAAGGCACUUACCUUCCCUAUUGGGGAGGCUUUCCUCAGGAACAAGGAGCUAAUAUGUCCUUCACUAUAGGAUGACCUGAUUCCUCAACAGUCCAACCGGAAGAAAGGCACUCUGCCUUUUGAGCAGGCUUCUUGAGCUGCUCUGGCUCUCCGCAGAUGCCUUGUGAGGAAACACGCUCUACAUCUGCUCUCCACUUAGAGGU